AUUGAACGCUGGCGGCAGGCCUAACACAUGCAAGUCGAACGGUAACAGGAAGAAGCUUGCUUCUUUGCUGACGAGUGGCGGACGGGUGAGUAAUGUCUGGGAAACUGCCUGAUGGAGGGGGAUAACUACUGGAAACGGUAGCUAAUACCGCAUAACGUCGCAAGACCAAAGAGGGGGACCUUCGGGCCUCUUGCCAUCGGAUGUGCCCAGAUGGGAUUAGCUAGUAGGUGGGGUAACGGCUCACCUAGGCGACGAUCCCUAGCUGGUCUGAGAGGAUGACCAGCCACACUGGAACUGAGACACGGUCCAGACUCCUACGGGAGGCAGCAGUGGGGAAUAUUGCACAAUGGGCGCAAGCCUGAUGCAGCCAUGCCGCGUGUAUGAAGAAGGCCUUCGGGUUGUAAAGUACUUUCAGCGGGGAGGAAGGGAGUAAAGUUAAUACCUUUGCUCAUUGACGUUACCCGCAGAAGAAGCACCGGCUAACUCCGUGCCAGCAGCCGCGGUAAUACGGAGGGUGCAAGCGUUAAUCGGAAUUACUGGGCGUAAAGCGCACGCAGGCGGUUUGUUAAGUCAGAUGUGAAAUCCCCGGGCUCAACCUGGGAACUGCAUCUGAUACUGGCAAGCUUGAGUCUCGUAGAGGGGGGUAGAAUUCCA
rnacentral:rRNA from 1 species